AGAUUGAACGCUGGCGGCAUGCCUAACACAUGCAAGUCGAACGGCAGCACAGCAGUAGCAAUACUGUGGGUGGCGAGUGGCGGACGGGUGAGUAAUGCAUCGGGACCUACCUGAACGUGGGGGAUAACCUAGGGAAACCUGGGCUAAUACCGCAUAACACUUACGAGUCAAAGCAGCAAUGCGCUUGGGGAGGGGGUCGCGGCCGAUUAGCUAGUUGGCGGGGUAAUGGCCCAUCAAGGCAAUGAUCGGUAUCCGGCCUGAGAGGGCGCACGGACACACUGGAACUGAAACACGGUCCAGACUCCUACGGGAGGCAGCAGUGGGGAAUUUUGCGCAAUGGGGGAAACCCUGACGCAGCAACGCCGCGUGGAGGAUGAAGUCUCUUGGGACGUAAACUCCUUUCGAUUGGGAAGAUAAUGACGGUACCAAUAGAAGAAGCCCCGGCUAACUUCGCGCCAGCAGCCGC
rnacentral:rRNA from 1 species